UACGUAGGUGGCAAGCGUUGUCCGGAUUUACUGGGUGUAAAGGGCGUGCAGCCGGAGAGACAAGUCAGAUGUGAAAUCCACAGGCUCAACCUGUGAACUGCAUUUGAAACUGUUUCCCUUGAGUAUCGGAGAGGUCAUCGGAAUUCCUAGUGUAGCGGUGAAAUGCUUAGAUAUCACGAAGAACUCCGAUUGCGAAGGCAGCUCACUGGACUGCAACUGACACUGAGGCUCGAAAGUGUGGGUAUCAAACAGG
rnacentral:rRNA from 1 species